AUUAGAUACUCCUAACACUACAAGCAAAACAACUGUAUAACAGUAAACUACUAUGCUACACUUNUAAGUUAAGUUUUACUAAUAUACACAUUACAAUCUUUUGUAUACAAUUAGAUACUCCUAACACUACAAGCAAAACAAAUGUAUGACAGCAAAGGACACUAUGCUACACUAUUAAGAUACUCCUAACACAACAAGCAAAGCAACUGUAUAACAGUAAAGUACUAUGCUACACUUUUAAGAUACUCCUAACACAACUAGCAAAGCAACUAUAUAACAGUAAACUACUAUGCUACACUAUUAAGAUACUCCUAACACAAGAAGCAAAGCAACUAUAUAACCGUAAAGGACACUACGCUACACUAUUAAGAUACUCCUAACUCAGCAAGCAAAACAACUGUAUAACAGUAAACUACUAUGCUACACUUUUAAG